rnacentral:rRNA from 1 species
GACGAACGCUGGCGGCGUGCUUAACACAUGCAAGUCGAACGGAAAGGCCCUGCUUUUGUGGGGUGCUCGAGUGGCGAACGGGUGAGUAACACGUGAGUGACCUGCCCUUGACUUUGGGGUAACUUCAGGAAACUGGGGCUAAUACCGGAUAGGAGCUCCUGCUGCAUGGUGGGGGUUGGAAAGUUUCGGCGGUUGGGGAUGGACUCGCGGCUUAUCAGCUUGUUGGUGGGGUAGUGGCUUACCAAGGCUUUGACGGGUAGCCGGCCUGAGAGGGUGACCGGCCACAUUGGGACUGAGAUACGGCCCAGACUCCUACGGGAGGCAGCAGUGGGGAAUAUUGCACAAUGGGCGGAAGCCUGAUGCAGCAACGCCGCGUGCGGGAUGACGGCCUUCGGGUUGUAAACCGCUUUCGCCUGUGACGAAGCGUGAGUGACGGUAAUGGGUAAAGAAGCACCGGCUAACUACGUG